rfam:Alligator mississippiensis ScZkoYb_113.1, whole genome shotgun sequence.
AAAUAGGAUUUUUUAAAAUCCAAACAGAUUUAUUAAAAUGUUAAGU